AACGAACGCUGGCGGCAUGCCUAACACAUGCAAGUCGAGCGGCAGCGGGAAGUAGCUUGCUACUUUGCCGGCGAGCGGCGGACGGGUGAGUAAUGUCUGGGAAACUGCCUGAUGGAGGGGGAUAACUACUGGAAACGGUAGCCAGUACCGCAUGACCUCGCAAGAGCAAAGUGGGGGACCUUCGGGCCUCACGCCAUCGGAUGUGC
rnacentral:rRNA from 1 species